ensembl:lncRNA
AGAGAGAGAGAGAGAGAGACAGAGAGAGAGAGAGAGAGAGAGAGACAGAGAGAGAGACACCUUGGGUAUCAAAUUUGUUUAACCUGGGUUAAAUUUUAUUUCAACUUAUCUUAAGUGCGUCAAAGUCAAAUACUGUCCAAAUAUACCAGUUCAUCAUAUUAGUGAUUCUAGUUCCUGUUAGGCUAGAUACAUUUAACCUAUAAGAUACCUAUAAGAUAAAUUUCCUGUAACCGAUUGUAAUAAUUGUCAAACAGCGUCUGUUCAUUAAUCGUUUAAUUAUAUGAAAAUACUAAUGAUAAUUAAAUCGUGUUGAGCCAGGAUAGAGAUUUAUUUGCCAGGUAACUAUCAGAAAACUGCGUAAAGAAGUUCAUUAGUAUAAAUGAGCUUUUGUUUUGUGAGCUUACCAAAACUUUGUAGAGACUGCCUUUACUCACUUUCCUUCUCUAUUUUUUUAAGUGUAUAAGAAAGAAAGAAAGAAAGAAAGAAAGAAAGAAACGAAAGAACGAAAAAAUGUGUAAGCUCAAAAGACAUAAGAUACUUGCUAUUUAUGUUUUUAGCAUUUGAUGAUAAGUUCCAAUUUCAACAAAGUUAAGUGCAAAUUUGGUUCAGUAAUUUGAGUCUUGGGGCCCAGUUUCAGAAUGAGAAUGGUCAAAGCUUGCUCUAAUAGUUAACAAUCUUUGGCAGCGAUGCUUUUUGGAGGCAAAAAAUCUACACAAGGCCGAACAGACGGUCUAGGUUACAAACAAUUUCAAUUCGAUUCAAUUAUAUUUUGUUCAUAAAGCGCUUUUACCAAUUGGGCAUUUUCACAAUAAAGUCGCUUCACAGAAAUCCCGAUAUAGUUUUACAUCUAGAGCCCUAACAAAUAAAACAGAGACAUAUAGACCACCCAUAGAACUGUCAACCUAAAAAUAAAAUCAGAUUCCAUUUGUACACAACAUAGGCUACUAAAAACAACUUAGCAUUUUUUUUUACUAGGUAGGUUACAGGUUAUACAUUAAAUGUUGUUUUGUAUGUCAUUAUGGAAAGCUGGUCAAAUUAAAUGCGGGCGACGUUUGUGCAUACUUUUCCUAACAGGUAAUGAGUUUUGGGAACAGCUCUACCUGUUGAGGUUCACUGGCGUUACUCCGCUUGUAGCUGUCAGGCCGAUGCGACUCCGCGCCUGUACCGGAGUUCUCCAGACGCUCUCUAUCGAUUCCUCUAGUCCAGCUCUACAGCAGACAUAUAUCCCAUCCGACAGGAGUUACUCACCCGUACAUAACGAGCUCAGUCCACGCAGCAUAUUCAUUCAUUGUGGUUUGAGCUAUAGAUAGCAAUAGAUAAGAAUGCACAAGAGGUGGAGGGUGAAUUUAAAUUCGACAUGUACUGUUUACAUAAUAAACUCAUCUGUAUGUGAUGUAUGUUUAUCUGACGUUUCAUACCUAGAAGUUGUGAAAAAUAAACAUUACACUCGAUGACAAUGCCUGUGUUACCUUACAGUGUGCCUUGAUUUAAUUAAAUAGAGGGGACAUAUAGGCGCAGGGGCUAAUUCAGUCUUAUGGAAAUAUAGGGUAAGUAAUCAGGUUCAAUAUUUUAAGUGAAGUGGUCUGUUCUGAGCAUUAAUUUAGCGUAAAUCUUGAGAAAGGGUUUUAGGACAGACCCCAAAACGACCUAGUCAGGGGAAAAGAUGGGUAAGUAGCAGAUUUAUGCAAAUACCAGGAUAAUAAAUCCUGAGCAGUCGA